rnacentral:rRNA from 1 species
CCUACGGGUGGCAGCAGUGGGGAAUUUUGCACAAUGCUCGUAAGAGUGACGCAGCGACGCCGCGUGAAUGACGAAGGCCUUCGGGUCGUAAAGUUCUUUCGACAGGGAAGAAAAUGCCUAUAAGUAACUGUGUAUGUACGGACGGUACCUGGAUAAGCAGCGCCGUCUAACGUCGUGCCAGCAGCCGCGGUAAUACGGAGGUGGCGAGCGUUGUCCGGAGUGACUGGGCGUAAAGGGCACGUAGGCGGUGUUGUAAGUCAUUAGUCAAAGACUAGAGCUCAACUUUUGUAAGGCGUGUGAAACUAUAAUACUGGAGUAUCGGAGAGGAAUGCAGAAUUCCUGGUGUAGCGGUGAAAUGCGUAGAUAUCAGGAGGAAUACCGUUGGCGAAGGCGG